rnacentral:rRNA from 1 species
UUUUUUAAUUGAAAACUUGUAUGAAUGGUUGAAUGAAAUAUUAACUGUUUCAUAAAAAUUUUAUUAGAAUUUUAUUUUUUAGUUAAAAAGCUAAAAUUAAAUUAUAAGACGAGAAGACCCUAUAGAGUUUAAUAAUUUAUUGAAAUUAUAUAUUAUAUAAUUUUAUAAAAUAUUUAUUUUUAAGAUUAUUUUAUUGGGGUGAUAUUAUAAUUUAUAUAACUUAUAUUUUUUUGUUACAUAAAUUAAUGAAUUUAUGAUCCAUUAUUAAUGAUUAAAAGAUUUAAUUACCUUAGGGAUAACAGCAUAAUUUUAUUUUUAAGUUCUUAUUUAUAAUAAAGAUUGU